rnacentral:lncRNA from 1 species
UACUGUAUCUUACAGCAGUGAUAAAGUUGACCUGAAGAAGCUCAUCAACCCUCUGGCUUUGUUGAUCUUCAUAGUAAUGAUGACCUUGAUCAUUUGGUUUAUACUGAAGACACACAGUAAGUCUUUACUCGUCUCUAGGAGUUGAUUCACUGAACACUGACCGUGUGUAACAUGAGCUUUAAUUGUUUACCUUGUAGAGCAACGCAAAGGGAAUUCAUCAGCUACAGUUAAGGCCAGUUUGAUUUGUUUUUUACUCUUGUGGUACUUUGAUUUUGUCAAUCAGAAAGUGUUUUUGUGUUUUAUGUAUUAUUCUAUAGAUGAAGAACGUUUGUUAACAGUUGUUUAAUCCUUUAAUACAGGCUGAAAGUGAAGUAACAUACUGUGAUGUUGCAUACAGGAGAAGAACUUCAGUGCAGAUGUCAUGCACAGAUGUGGAUGUUACGUAUGCUGCUGUGGUUACCAAGAAGUAGCAGUCUGUAAAGGUUGAAGGUACAGUACAAAGCCAUGAGUCUCCACCAACCACAAAUUUGAAGGUCUGUUGUUUCAUACAUCCGGACAAUGUGAGCUGUUGGGCUGUUUGUCACACUACACAUCGCUGUUUGUGGUUUGCUUCUGAAAUGCAGCCGCAUACAAAAUGGGUGCAGGCGCAUUCAACUUAGGUUAUGCUUUAACUUGAGAUCACACACUUGCUCUAAACAGUCAACAUGUUAGUUACAGUAUGGU